rnacentral:miRNA from 1 species
CCAGGGCUCCGGGCCGCCGGCGGGGGCUGCCCGGGGAGUCAGUUGCGGCGGAGGCGGAGGCGGAGGCAGCGGC